rnacentral:rRNA from 1 species
UACGUAGGGGGCGAGCGUUGUCCGGAUUUAUUGGGCGUAAAGAGCUCGUAGGCGGUUCGACAAGUCGGAUGUGAAAUCUCCACGCUCAACGUGGAGGGGCCAUUCGAAACUGUCGUGACUUGAGUCCGGUAGGGGAGUGUGGAAUUCCCGGUGUAGCGGUGAAAUGCGCAGAGAUCGGGAGGAACACCCGUAGCGAAGGCGGCACUCUGGGCCGUGACUGACGCUGAGGAGCGAAAGCGUGGGGAGCAAACAGG